AGUCCCAUAGUUAAUCGGUAUAACGCAGGACUCCAAAUCCUGUAUGCUAGGUUCGACUCCUAGUGGGACUGCCA
rnacentral:tRNA from 1 species